rnacentral:rRNA from 1 species
GGCGCCGACGUCUUCCACUACGUUGACGGUACGUCGACCGAGCCAGCCAAAACCCACGUCACCAAAGAUGCCGCUGGGAAGGAAACCAAGAGACCGAAUCCUCUCCAUCCACUCUGGGUGAAGGGGGGUCAGCAGGUCCUUGGAUAUCUACUCCAACACCUAUCCAAGGAGGUGCUCGUCAUGGUGACCGCGAUCACCAUGGCGCGGGAACUCUGGGUGGCGCUCGCGAGCAUGUUCUCGUCACAGUCACUCAGCCGCGUCAACAACAUCCGCAUGGCGCUGAUAAACGUGCAGAAGGGCAACCAGUCAGUGUCCUCCUUCUUCGCCGCCAUGCGGGGGCUAUCUGACGAGCUCAUCGCGGCGGGAAAGUCGAUCCAGGACGACAAGCUCAUAUCCUACAUCAUCCAUGGGUUGGACCAAGUUAUCUGCCUCUUGUCUCUGCCUUGGACGCUCGCGUCACUCCGGUAA